rnacentral:rRNA from 1 species
GAUGAACGCUAGCUACAGGCUUAACACAUGCAAGUCGAGGGGCAGCAUGAACAUAGCUUGCUAUGUUUGAUGGCGACCGGCGCACGGGUGCGUAACACGUAUCCAAUCUGCCCGUUACUCGGGGAUAGCCUUCUGAAAGGAAGAUUAAUACCCGAUGGCAUGUAUUUCCGGCAUCGGAGAUACAUUAAAGAUUUAUCGGUAACGGAUGAGGAUGCGUACGAUUAGCUGGUUGGCGGGUAACGGCCCACCGAGGCGACGAUCGUUAGGGGUUCUGAGAGGAAGGUCCCCCACACUGGAACUGAGACACGGUCCAGACUCCUACGGGAGGCAGCAGUGAGGAAUAUUGGUCAAUGGGCGGGAGCCUGAACCAGCCAAGUCGCGUGAGGGAAGACGGCCCUACGGGUUGUAAACCUUCUUUAGUCGGGGAGCAAAAAGGAUCACGCGUGGUCCAUUGAGCGUACCCGAAGAAUAAGCAUCGGCUAACUCCGUG